AUUGAACGCUGGCGGCAUGCCUUACACAUGCAAGUCGAACGGCAGCACGGGACUCAGGCAACUGAGCCCUGGUGGCGAGUGGCGAACGGGUGAGUAAUGCAUCGGAACGUGCCCAGUAGUGGGGGAUAACUAGUCGAAAGAUUAGCUAAUACCGCAUACGACCUAUGGGUGAAAGCGGGAGAUUUUCGGGCAACCGAGAACCUCGCGCUAUCGGAGCGGCCGAUGCUGAUUAGCUAGUUGGCGGGGUAAAAGCCCACCAAGGCUUCGAUCAGUAGCUGGUCUGAGAGGACGACCAGCCACACUGGGACUGAGACACGGCCCAGACUCCUACGGGAGGCAGCAGUGGGGAA
rnacentral:rRNA from 1 species